rnacentral:rRNA from 1 species
GAUGAACGCUGGCGGCGUGCCUAAUACAUGCAAGUCGAGCGAACGGACGAGAAGCUUGCUUCUCUGAUGUUAGCGGCGGACGGGUGAGUAACACGUGGAUAACCUACCUAUAAGACUGGGAUAACUUCGGGAAACCGUAGCUAAUACCGGAUAAUAUUUUGAACCGCAUGGUUCAAAAGUGAAAGACGGUCUUGCUGUCACUUAUAGAUGGAUCCGCGCUGCAUUAGCUAGUUGGUAAGGUAACGGCUUACCAAGGCAACGAUGCAUAGCCGACCUGGGAGAGGGAUCGGCCACACUGGAACUGAGACACGGUCCAGACUCCUACGGGAGGCAGCAGUAGGGAAUCUUCCGCGAUGGGCGAAAGCCUGACGGAGCAACGCCGCGUGAGUGAUGAAGGUCUUCGGAUCGUAAAACUCUGUUAUUAGGGAAGAACAUAUGUGUAAGUAACUGUGCACAUCUUGACGGUACCUAAUCAGAAAGCCACGGCUAACUACGUG